CACGGGGCGCAGCAGGCGCGAAACCUCCGCAAUGCACGCAAGUGCGACGGGGGAACCCCAAGUGUCACUCUUACAGCGCCCCGCGCCCGUCCCGCCGCAAACGCCCCACAUAAGAGUAGUACG
rnacentral:rRNA from 1 species